UCCGUUCCAGGAAGUGUUGAAACAGGCGCGCGGGACGCUCGAGUCCGAGAUGAACGAGAGUGGAGCUCAGCUGUUGGCCCGUCUGGAGGCCCGCCGCAGCCUGAAGGACAUCGAGCCUCGCUUGUUUCCGGACGGUGGGGGACCGGAGUCCGGUGAGGUGGUGGAGCUGUUUGGGACGGAGGGCACAGGUAAGACGGAGCUGCUGUACCACCUGCUGUGUCGCUGCGUUCUCCCGGAGGCGGCCGGCGGGCUGCAGGUGGACGUGGUCUUCGUGGACACCGACUACAGUCUGGACAUGUUGAGGCUGGUCAGCGUCCUGGACGGUCGUCUGAACGCCGAUGAGGAGGCACUGUCUUCCUGCCUGUCCCGCCUCCUGGUGGUCCACUGCUCCUCAUCCUCCCAGUUGCUCCUCACCCUCCACUUCCUGGAGACGUCCCUGUCGGCGCGGCCCGGCCUAUCGCUGCUCCUCAUCGACAGCAUCUCGGCUUUCUAUUGGCCGGACCGCUCGGCGGGCGGAGCCAGUGUCACCAAGCAGGAGGAGACGCUCACUAAGUGCUCCGAGCUCCUGGGACGACUCCUCAGGGACUACAGAGUCACCGUCUUCACCUCCUGCCACCCCAUCAGGAGGAGUGGCGCCGGCUCGUCCUCGGACUGGGACCGCCCCUUCCUGUGCCGGUCCUGGCAGCGGCUGGUGACCCACCGGCUGCUCUGCUCUCGGCAGGAGGCGGCAGGAGGCGCCGGGGAGCAGAGGAGGCGCCAAGUCUUCAGUGUUCACUGCAACUCCUUCAAGACCAAAACCCAGAGGAGCUCCUGCUUCACUGUGACGGAUGGAGGAGUCCAGUUUCUAUGAGUCCUCUCUCCUCCUUCCUCUCUCCUCCUCCUCCCUCUCUCCUCCUCCUCCCGCUCUCUUCCUCCUCCUCUCUUCCUGCCUCUCUC